rnacentral:rRNA from 1 species
GAGCUUGCUCCCGGAUGUUAGCGGCGGACGGGUGAGUAACACGUGGGUAACCUGCCUGUAAGACUGGGAUAACUCCGGGAAACCGGAGCUAAUACCGGAUAGUUCCUUGAACCGCAUGGUUCAAGGAUGAAAGACGGUUUCGGCUGUCACUUACAGAUGGACCCGCGGCGCAUUAGCUAGUUGGUGAGGUAACGGCUCACCAAGGCGACGAUGCGUAGCCGACCUGAGAGGGUGAUCGGCCACACUGGGACUGAGACACGGCCCAGACUCCUACGGGAGGCAGCAGUAGGGAAUCUUCCGCAAUGGACGAAAGUCUGACGGAGCAACGCCGCGUGAGUGAUGAAGGUUUUCGGAUCGUAAAGCUCUGUUGUUAGGGAAGAACAAGUGCAAGAGUAACUGCUUGCACCUUGACGGUACCUAACCAGAAAGCCACGGCUAACUACGUGCCAGCAGCCGCGGUAAUACGUAGGUGGCAAGCGUUGUCCGGAAUUAUUGGGCGUAAAGGGCUCGCAGGCGGUUUCUUAAGUCUGAUGUGAAAGCCCCCGGCUCAACCGGGGA